GCCAACUACAAAAAAGAAGAGGGCGUCACAGCAGAGAAGCAAAAUAGAAAGAAGUUCAUCAGAUAGACAGUCAGGUGGAGAAGACAGAGGCAGAUAAAAAGAACCCAGUCAAUCAUGAAGAAAGUCGUGAAGAAAGCCCCCGUAAAGAUGCCAGAGAUUCAGACUUCGAGAUUAGUUCAAGGUGAAGAUGGUGUAUCGGAGUGUGCCUUGACACUCCAGAUCAUCGGGGAUCUCUUAAACUAUGAAUACCAGUUUUUGAGAAAUCGCGGAAAGAAGUGAAAGUGUCAAGUUGGAGGAAGAAGAAGACACUUUACCCGAUGUCCAGGUGGGCCAGACAGAUGACCUGCUCUGUCCGAACGCUUUUGAGCAGACGGAAUGGAAGACCAUGCAUAUGGGACUUGCUCAGAGCAUUCUUGGUCGA